AGAUUGAACGCUGGCGGCAGGCCUAACACAUGCAAGUCGAGCGGUAGAGAGGUGCUUGCACCUCUUGAGAGCGGCGGACGGGUGAGUAAAGCCUAGGAAUCUGCCUGGUAGUGGGGGAUAACGCUCGGAAACGGCGCUAAUACCGCAUACGUCCUACGGGAGAAAGCAGGGGACCUUCGGGCCUUGCGCUAUCAGAUGAGCCUAGGUCGGAUUAGCUAGUUGGUGAGGUAAUGGCUCACCAAGGCGACGAUCCGUAACUGGUCUGAGAGGUAUGAUCAGUCACACUGGAACUGGACGACGACGGUCCAAGACCUCGUACGGGAGCAGCGAGGUGGGAAUAGUGGAACAGUGGGAC
rnacentral:rRNA from 1 species